UACGAAGGGGGCUAGCGUUGCUCGGAAUGACUGGGCGUAAAGGGCGCGUAGGCGGAUGUUACAGUCAGGCGUGAAAUUCCUGGGCUCAACCUGGGGGCUGCGUUUGAUACGUGAUGUCUGGAGUUCGGAAGAGGGUCGUGGAAUUCCCAGUGUAGAGGUGAAAUUCGUAGAUAUUGGGAAGAACACCGGUGGCGAAGGCGGCGACCUGGUCCUGGACUGACGCUGAGGCGCGAAAGCGUGGGGAGCAAACAGG
rnacentral:rRNA from 1 species